rnacentral:rRNA from 1 species
UAAUGAUCCUGCGAGUUGUGGUAUCUGGCAAGGUUAAGCGGAUGCGAAGCCGUAGCGAAAAGCGAGUCUUAAUAGGGCGAUUUAAGUCAGACGCUGCAGACCCGAAGCUAAGUGAUCUAUCCAUGGCCAAGUUGAAACGCGUGUAAUAGCGCGUGGAGGACUGAACUCGUACCCAUUGAAACGGGUUGGGAUGAGCUGUGGAUAGGGGUGAAAGGCCAAACAAACUUAGUGAUAGCUGGUUCUCUUCGAAAUAUAUUUAGGUAUAGCCUCAAGUGAUAAUAAAAGGGGGUAGAGCCCUGAUUGGGCUAGGGCUGCUCGCCGCGGUACCAAACCCUAUCAAACUUCGAAUACCUUUUAUCGUAUCUUGGGAGUCAGGCGGUGGGUGAUAAAAUCAAUCGUCAAAAGGGGAACAACCCAGGCUACCAAAUAAGGUCCCUAAGUUCUAUUCUGAGUGGAAAAAGAUGUGUGGCUACUCAAACAACCAGGAGGUUGGCUUAGAAGCAGCCAUCCUUUAAAGAAAGCGUAACAGCUCACUGGUCUAGUGGUCAUGCGCUGAAAAUAUAACGGGGCUAAGAUAGACACCGAAUUUGUAGAUUGUGUUAAACACAGUGGUAGAAGAGCGUUCAUACCAGCGUUGAAGGUAUACCGGUAAGGAGUGCUGGAGCGGUAUGAAGUGAGCAUGCAGGAAUGAGUAACGAUAAGAUAUAUGAGAAUUGUAUCCGCCGUAAAUCUAAGGUUUCCUACGCGAUGGUCGUCAUCGUAGGGUUAGUCGGAUCCUAAGCCGAGUCCGAAAGGGGUAGGUGAUGGCAAAUUGGUUAAUAUUCCAAUACCGACUAUGGAGCGUGAUGGGGGGACGCAUAGAGUUAAGCGAGCUAGCUGAUGGAAGCGCUAGUCUAAGGGCGUAGAUUGGAGGGAAGGCAAAUCCACCUCUGUAUUUGAAACCCAAACAGGCUCUUUGAGUCCUUUUAGGACAAAGGGAGAAUCGCUGAUACCGUCGUGCCAAGAAAAGCCUCUAAGCAUAUCCAUAGUCGUCCGUACCGCAAACCGACACAGGUAGAUGAGAUGAGUAUUCUAAGGCGCGUGAAAGAACUCUGGUUAAGGAACUCUGCAAACUAGCACCGUAAGUUCGCGAUAAGGUGUGCCGCAGCAAUGCGGUCUCAGCAAAGAGUCCCUCCCGACUGUUUACCAAAAACACAGCACUUUGCCAACUCGUAAGAGGAAGUAUAAGGUGUGACGCCUGCCCGGUGCUCGAAGGUUAAGAGGAUGCGUCAGUCGCAAGAUGAAGCGUUGAAUUGAAGCCCGAGUAAACGGCGGCCGUAACUAUAACGGUCCUAAGGUAGCGAAAUUCCUUGUCGGUUAAAUACCGACCUGCAUGAAUGGCGUAACGAGAUGGGAGCUGUCUCAACCAGAGAUUCAGUGAAAUUGUAGUGGAGGUGAAAAUUCCUCCUACCCGCGGCAAGACGGAAAGACCCCGUGGACCUUUACUACAACUUAGCACUGCUAACGGGAAUACCAUGCGCAGGAUAGGUGGGAGGCUUUGAAGUAAGGGCUUUGGCUCUUAUGGAGCCAUCCUUGAGAUACCACCCUUGAUGUUUCUGUUAGCUAACUGGCCUGUGUUAUCCACAGGCAGGACAAUGCUUGGUGGGUAGUUUGACUGGGGCGGUCGCCUCCUAAAAAGUAACGGAGGCUUGCAAAGGUUGGCUCAUUGCGGUUGGAAAUCGCAAGUUGAGUGUAAUGGCACAAGCCAGCCUGACUGUAAGACAUACAAGUCAAGCAGAGACGAAAGUCGGUCAUAGUGAUCCGGUGGUUCUGUGUGGAAGGGCCAUCGCUCAAAGGAUAAAAGGUACCCCGGGGAUAACAGGCUGAUCUCCCCCAAGAGCUCACAUCGACGGGGAGGUUUGGCACCUCGAUGUCGGCUCAUCGCAUCCUGGGGCUGGAGCAGGUCCCAAGGGUAUGGCUGUUCGCCAUUUAAAGCGGUACGCGAGCUGGGUUCAGAACGUCGUGAGACAGUUCGGUCCCUAUCUGCCGUGGGCGUAGGAAAGUUGAGGAGAGCUGUCCCUAGUACGAGAGGACCGGGAUGGACGUGUCACUGGUGCACCAGUUGUUCUGCCAAGAGCAUCGCUGGGUAGCUACACACGGAUGUGAUAACUGCUGAAAGCAUCUAAGCAGGAAGCCAACUCCAAGAUAAACUUUCCCUGAAGCUCGCACAAAGACUAUGUGCUUGAUAGGGUAGAUGUGUAAGCGCAGUAAUGCGUUUAGCUGACUACUACUAAUAGAGCGUUUGGCUUGUUUUU